GACGAACGCUGGCGGCGUGCCUAAUACAUGCAAGUUGAGCGCUGAAGGUUGGUACUUGUACCGACUGGAUGAGCAGCGAACGGGUGAGUAACGCGUGGGGAAUCUGCCUUUGAGCGGGGGACAACAUUUGGAAACGAAUGCUAAUACCGCAUAACAACUUUAAACACAAGUUUUAAGUUUGAAAGAUGCAAUUGCAUCACUCAAAGAUGAUCCCGCGUUGUAUUAGCUAGUUGGUGAGGUAAAGGCUCACCAAGGCGAUGAUACAUAGCCGACCUGAGAGGGCGAUCGGCCACAUGGGGACUGAGACACGGCCCAAACUCCUACGGGAGGCAGCAGUAGGGAAUCUUCGGCAAUGGACGAAAGUCUGACCGAGCAACGCCGCGUGAGUGAAGAAGGUUUUCGGAUCGUAAAACUCUGUUGGUAGAGAAGAACGUUGGUGAGAGUGGAAAGCUCAUCAAGUGACGGUAACUACCCAGAAAGGGACGGCUAACUACGUGCCAGCCGCCGCAGUAA
rnacentral:rRNA from 1 species